rnacentral:misc_RNA from 1 species
UAGUGCCUACACUUGCAUUGUUAGAGAAGAACCCGCCGUUAUGUUCUUAGCUGUAGAAUUUGCAGCCAAAUCUGUCCAUGAAGUUUGUGUACUCAUCAAUAUACACAAUACAAAAACUUCAAUUGCAAAACCCCUUUUCCUAAAAAAAGGAGAAAUAAAUUUACUUCUGACUCCCCAACAAGCUUUAAGCAGUUCCCCUUUUGAGACUAAACUUCAAUUUAUCAUUGAAAUCAAAAACUUGCACAAACAUUAAAUCCAUCAAUCCUUAGGAUCUGGAAACACAAAGUUGCAUUUAAGAGAACAAUAAAAGCAAAGAAGAAUAAGAAAAAGCAAAAAAAAAAAAAA